UACGAAGGGUGCAAGCGUUAAUCGGAAUUACUGGGCGUAAAGCGCGCGUAGGCGGCUGAGUAAGUCGAUUGUGAAAGCCCCGGGCUCAACCUGGGAAUUGCAGUCGAGACUGUUCGGUUAGAGUGUGGGAGAUGGUGGUGGAAUUCCGAGUGUAGAGGUGAAAUUCGUAGAUAUUCGGAAGAACACCAGUGGCGAAGGCGACUUACUGGACACAUAUUGACGCUGAGGUGCGAAAGCGUGGGGAGCAAACAGG
rnacentral:rRNA from 1 species